GGGCCCGCACAAGCGGUGGAGCAUGUGGUUUAAUUCGAUGCAACGCGAAGAACCUUACCAGGGCUUGACAUACUGCGAAUCUCCUUGAAAGGGGAGAGUGCCUUCGGGAAUGCAGAUACAGGUGGUGCAUGGCUGUCGUCAGCUCGUGUCGUGAGAUGUUGGGUUAAGUCCCGCAACGAGCGCAACCCUUGUUUUUAGUUACCAAUUCGUUGGGUUUUCUAGAAAGACUGCCGGUGACAAACCGGAGGAAGGUGAGGAUGACGUCAAGUCAGCAUGCCCCUUAUGUCCUGGGCUACACACGUGCUACAAUGGUUAGGACAAAGGGCAGCAAGUUCGCGAGGACAAGCAAAUCCCAUAAACCGUGGCUCAGUUCAGAUCGUAGGCUGCAACUCGCCUACGUG
rnacentral:rRNA from 1 species